rnacentral:rRNA from 1 species
CCUACGGGAGGCAGCAGUGGGGAAUAUUGGGCAAUGGGCGCAAGCCUGACCCAGCAACGCCGCGUGAAGGAAGAAGGCUUUCGGGUUGUAAACUUCUUUUCUCAGGGACGAAGAAAGUGACGGUACCUGAGGAAUAAGCCACGGCUAACUACGUGCCAGCAGGCGCGGUAAUACGGAGGUGGCAAGCGUUAUCCGGAUUUACUGGGUGUAAAGGGCGUGUAGGCGGGAAAGCAAGUCAGAUGUGAAAACCAUGGGCUCAACCUGUGGCCUGCAUUUGAAACUGUUUUUCUUGAGUACUGGAGAGGCAGACGGAAUUCCUAGUGUAGCGGUGAAAUGCGUAGAUAUUAGGAGGAACACCAGUGGCGAAGGCGGUCUGCUGGACAGCAACUGACGCUGAGGCGCGAAAGCGUGGGGAGCAAACAGGAUUAGAUACCCGAGUAGUC